UGGCUCAGAACGAACGCUGGCGGCAUGCUUUACACAUGCAAGUCGAACGGCAGCAUGGAAGAGCUUGCUCUUCUGAUGGCGAGUGGCGAACGGGUGAGUAAAGCAUCGGAACGUACCGUGUAAUGGGGGAUAACGUAGCGAAAGUUACGCUAAUACCGCAUACGACCUGAGGGUGAAAGCAGGGGAUCGCAAGACCUUGCGUUAUACGAGCGGCCGAUGUCAGAUUAGCUAGUUGGUAGGGUAAAGGCCUACGCGAGAAGACGAUCUGUAGCGGGUCUGAGAGGAUGAUCCGCCACACUGUUCCUGAGACACNGGACGGACUCCUACGG
rnacentral:rRNA from 1 species